UUGACCGCCCUAAUUCCGCUCCUUCCUGGGGUUUCGAUCAGGAUGCCAGGGUUUUAAACUCCAUCCCCUUUUGUCUCUUCGAUCUCCGGCGGUUCUUCGGUCUAGGGUUCUCCCUCCGGCCGCUGCCAUGGUGGACGCACCCCUCUCUGGCGGGACCAUCGCGAAGCGCCUCGCAUCGUGCAACAAGUCCAUCCGUGACCGGGCUGUCCGCGCUCUCACCACUUGGCUCCCCCAGCAGCCCGACGCCACCGUCUCCGACGGCGACCUCGUCAAGAUCUGGAAGGGCCUCUUCUACUGCGUCUGGCACUCCGACAAGCUCCCCGUCCAGGUGGACCUCAUCAACUGCCUAGCCUCCCUCCUCGAGGCCCUUCCCGCCCCCCUCGCCGCCCGCUACUUUGAGGCCUUCGUCCUCACCGUCCGCCGCGAGUGGUCCGGCAUCGACUUCCUCCGCCUCGACAAGUUCUACCUCUUGAUCCGGCGGUUCCUUCGCCACCUCUUCCUCCUUCUCAGGAAGAACGCUUGGGAUCUCGAUAUCUCCACCCGCCUUAUGGGAAUUCUGUCGGAAAAAUCGCUUCUUGCUGCCGAUAAGUACCCGGCCCAGGGCGUCAGCUACCACUUCGCCGAGAUCUUCUUGGAUGAAAUUAAAGAGUUCCUCCCACUCGCGGUGGAACCCCUAGACGUGCUGCUGAAGCCCUUCCUUUCUGUGCUGGAGAAGUCUAGUGACAAGGUCUUGGUGAACAAGAUCAAGGUGAAUGUUUUCGAGCGCUUGCUCCAGAAUGGAGUGAAGCUGUUGGAUGUUGAGAAGGCUGGAAAUCAAGUGGAGUCUGGCAGUGACGCCGACAAAUUUGGAAAAAUCCCUUUGGUGUUGAGCUUUUCGAAGGGGUUCCUUGACUCUGCUUCAGCUUCUGAGACACUUCAGGGCAAUAGGAAAGUCCUGUUUGGUUUGCAUGAAGGUUUUCUCAAGUUGGAGAAGGAUUUAGAGAAAUCCGGAGUUCAUAUUUCAGUCCCGCAUCUGGCAAAUGGGAAUUCAGUGAAGGUGCCUGAGCCCAUUUUCUCCGAGAACUCUGAACAAGCUGAUUUGGACAUGGGAAGUGGUGAUGGGGCUUCAGAUGAUCAGCCACUCAAUAAGCAGAAGAAGAAGAAGAAGGAGAAGAAGAAAACGAAGAAAGCAUCAGAUGGUACUAAGAAAAAAAACAAGUCCAAAAAGAAGAAGUCUUUGGAUUCAACUACAGAAAUUAAUGAUGCCAAACCAUUGAGUGAGGUUAAUGAUCUUGCUAAUGGUGGGAAUAUUAAUGGGGAUGCUACAGAAACGCAUGACUUGAUUAAUUUUGAUGAAUGUCUCAUCUCAAAUCUUCAGAAGCAGUUUGAGAAAGCUGCUGCUGAAGCUGGCUUGGCAAAUGAUAGCAAAAGAGUGAGUACUCUGCCGGCAACACUGGUUACUGAUAGUGUGCCUAAGAAGAGAAAAAAAAGAGCGAAGACUGCAGAGGGGAAGACAACUGUUAAGGGAAGUGAUGCUAAUGGAGAAAGCAUAGCUGGAAAGAGUGGAGAGAAGAGUGCUAAGAAGGUUAGGUUUUCAAUGAAGAACAACUUGGUGUGGAAGCCUCACAGUCCUCUGCCUCCCCAGAGUUUGAGAUUGCCACCAUCUGCUACUCCGAGAGGUAGUGCAAUGAAGAAAGGUAUUCCUCCUGGCCCCAUCAAAGAGACCCCUCCCACAGUUAAAAAGAUCAAGGUGAAGGCCAACUCUGUCAAGAAAGGCAGGAAGGUCUCCACUGUUUCUUCAGCGGUCAAGCACCUCCGGAGGCUACAAAGCCUUUCUGCAUAGAUCAGUGUAAAUGUUCAUUUUAUCUACUUGGUACCAAGCACUGGAUGAAUGUGAUGUCUACAAUUAUUAGGAUGGUGCAAUCUAAAUGUUCUUUCUUAUCAAUGUUGAGACAUGGGGAACUCUUUGGUCAUGGCAGCUUAUCAUUAUGAACCUCAGUGAUCCACUUGUGCUGCUCAAGCUUUAGAGAAGUUGGAGGUGGAGAACAUUUUAUUCCGGACUGGGUCAUUGAGAGUAUAGAUUGUUACUAUGUAGUUCUGGCUUUCGAAAGCAAAAUGGUGAUCAUUUGUUCUCAUCUUCUUCAAUUAAGUAUCAAUGUAGCAAGGGUUGCUGAUCUACGACCGCAGGAAGAGCUUACAAGCAUCUUUGCUUCCCAAAUCCCAUAUGAUUACUGGCCAGUAUCUUUGCCACGUGCACUGGAUGUCGAUCUUCACACAGUUGGGGAUUAUGCAUAUGUUGAAAGAAACAGUAUUUUGUGGUUGUAUGGAGAAGGAAUGAUGAAGUUGGAGGAUUUGGUAAUCUCUAACUGGCAUGACAAAGAUUAGUAUAUUUAGCAUUGGAUCAAAAAAAUUACAAAACUGAUUCAGAAAUGAUAAAUAUUUUGAUGCAAGGCUGCCUGGUUUGCAGGGUUUGGUAUCAUAUAGUAACAUGGAAAGAGUUUUGCCAUGCUGAAGUUGAAUGUGGAUUUCAGAUUUUGAUUUCUUGUAGUGCUACUGUUCUAGUUGAAUAGGCUUGCCAUUUUGCUAAAAUUGAAGCCUUGGGUUGAAUUUUCCUUUGUAAAGGGAUUUUCUUAUUUGCAGCUCUUGGGCAUUUUGGUA